CCAGGAAACCUACUGUGCUGACCCUAUUAAAGAUUUCUGGGAAGAGAAGAGGUCUGAGGCCAUCAGCUGACUAAAAGGGAAAGAUGUUGUGCUCCUAGGGGACGGCAGAAAUGACUCACCAGGGCAUUCUGCCCAAUACUGUAGCUACACAACCAUGGAGCUUGAUUCUAAGGAAAUCAUCCAUGUGGCCACUGUAGACAAGCGGCAGACCAACUGGAACUCCAAUAUCAUGGAGAAAGAGGGUUUUAUCCAGACAGUGGACAAGAGAUAAAGGUAGUUGAGUUCUGCACGGACGCUCAUGUCCAGAUUGGAGCCCUUUUGAACCCAGACAAAGGCAGAUAUAAGGAUCUGAGAAUUCACCACAGCCUGGACAUGUGGCAUGGUGCCAAAAAUCUGUGCAAAAAAAUAGCAAUCGCAGGAAAGGUGAAAGGACAGUCUCUUCUCCUUCACUGGCUGAGGGAUAUAGUAAACCAUUUCUGGUGGUGCUGCAAGACAGCAGAAACAUUUCAGCAGUUUCUUGCACUUUGGAUUGGAGUUCUGCAUCAUGUUUGCAACAGUCACACAUGGGAAACAGGAAGCUGCCAACACGACCACCUUGAAGACAUUCAGGAUAAAGAGUGGAUUGAAAGAGAUUCCAAGAGCCAUAAAGCAC